UGGCGGCGUGCCUAAUACAUGCAGUCGAGCGGACCAAAUCGGAGCUUGCUCUGAUUUGGUCAGCGGCGGACGGGUGAGUAACACGUGGGCAACCUGCCCGCAAGACCGGGAUAACUCCGGGAAACCGGAGCUAAUACCGGAUAACACCGAAGACCGCAUGGUCUUUGGUUGAAAGGCGGCCUUUGGCUGUCACUUGCGGAUGGGCCCGCGGCGCAUUAGCUAGUUGGUGAGGUAACGGCUCACCAAGGCGACGAUGCGUAGCCGGCCUGAGAGGGUGACCGGCCACACUGGGACUGAGACACGGCCCAGACUCCUACGGGAGGCAGCAGUAGGGAAUCUUCCGCAAUGGGCGAAAGCCUGACGGAGCGACGCCGCGUGAGCGAAGAAGGCCUUCGGGUCGUAAAGCUCUGUUGUGAGGGACGAAGGAGCGCCGUUCGAAGAGGGCGGCGCGGUGACGGUACCUCACGAGGAAGCCCCGGCUAACUACGUGCCAGCA
rnacentral:rRNA from 1 species